CUUUUUUUUCCAGUGACUUAGAACAGAUGGCCAGCCCCACACAAAACUUUUCUGAGUUUGAUUCAGCCCUACAGUACAAAUUGCCUGAUUAAGUUUCAAAAACAUCACAUUGUUAGAAACAUGAGAAUAAUAAAAAGCUUUUUAAAAAUGGACUAUGAAGCUGCUGGUGAUCUCAGAGAGAGUUUUCCAUGCAAGUUUUCAUCUGUCCCAGGCCAUCAACUGAUACAGAAGUCUCUAAUAAAGUUGAGUCCUAAGUCACUACUUGGAAGGUGGUGA
rnacentral:lncRNA from 1 species